rnacentral:rRNA from 1 species
GGGCUUGAUAUCCUAAGAACCUUUUAGAGAUAAGAGGGUGCUAGCUUGCUAGAACUUAGAGACAGGUGCUGCACGGCUGUCGUCAGCUCGUGUCGUGAGAUGUUGGGUUAAGUCCCGCAACGAGCGCAACCCACGUAUUUAGUUGCUAACGGUUCGGCCGAGCACUCUAAAUAGACUGCCUUCGUAAGGAGGAGGAAGGUGUGGACGACGUCAAGUCAUCAUGGCCCUUAUGCCCAGGGCGACACACGUGCUACAAUGGCAUAUACAAUGAGACGCAAUACCGCGAGGUGGAGCAAAUCUAUAAAAUAUGUCCCAGUUCGGAUUGUUCUCUGCAACUCGAGAGCAUGAAGCCGGAAUCGCUAGUAAUCGUAGAUCAGCCAUGCUACGGUGAAUACGUUCCCGGGUCUUGUACUCACCGCCCGUCACACCAUGGGAGUUGAUUUCACUCGAAGCCGGAAUACUAAACUAGUUACCGUCCACAGUGGAAUCAGCGACUGGGGUGAAGUCGUAACAAGGUAACCGUAGGAGAACCUGCGGUUGGAUCACCUCCUUUCUA